rnacentral:rRNA from 1 species
GACGAACGCUGGCGGCGUGCUUAACACAUGCAAGUCGAACGGUAAGGCCCUUCGGGGUACACGAGUGGCGAACGGGUGAGUAACACGUGGGUGAUCUGCCCUGCACUUUGGGAUAAGCCUGGGAAACUGGGGCUAAUACCGAAUAGGACUCCGGACUGCAUGGACUGGGGUGGAAAGCUGUUGCGGUGUGGGAUGGGCCCGCGGCCUAUCAGCUUGUUGGUGGGGUGAUGGCCUACCAAGGCGACGACGGGUAGCCGGCCUGAGAGGGUGACCGGCCACACUGGGACUGAGAUACGGCCCAGACUCCUACGGGAGGCAGCAGUGGGGAAUAUUGCACAAUGGGCGCAAGCCUGAUGCAGCGACGCCGCGUGAGGGAUGACGGCCUUCGGGUUGUAAACCUCUUUCAGCACAGACGAAGCGCAAGUGACGGUAUGUGCAGAAGAAGGACCGGCCAACUACGUGCCAGCCGCCGCGGUAAAAC